rnacentral:rRNA from 1 species
GAUGAACGCUGGCGGCAUGCCUAACACAUGCAAGUUGAACGAGAAGUUCCGGAACAAGUCUUCGGACAAGGGAAGGGACGGGAAGUAGCGAACGGGUGAGUAACGCGUGGGCAACCAACCUUACACAGGGGAUAACGCAGAGAAAUUUGCGCUAAUACCGCAUAAGCGCACAGGAUCACAUGAUCCGGUGUGAAAAACUCCGGUGGUGUAAGACGGGCCCGCGUCUGAUUAGCUAGUUGGUGAGGUAAAGGCUCACCAAGGCGACGAUCAGUAGCCGACCUGAGAGGGUGAUCGGCCACAUUGGGACUGAGACACGGCCCAAACUCCUACGGGAGGCAGCAGUGGGGGAUAUUGCACAAUGGAGGGAACUCUGAUGCAGCAAUGCCGCGUGAAGGAAGAAGGUUUUCGGAUUGUAAACUUCUAUCAGCAGGGAAGAAAAUGACGUACCUGACUAAGAGCCC